rnacentral:lncRNA from 1 species
UUUAAAUCUAAAGUGUAUUUAUAUAAAUUAUUCAUACCCGGCUGUGAAUGUUACGUUGGGAAUCCCAGUUACACUUUUAAAACGAAGGAAUAAACGAAAGUUGUACGUAAAAGAUGAAACUUGGAAGUAUUUCUAACCAAAACGACGACCUGACAAGUAAUGGCGGAAAAAUGAAAAGCGGAUAUAGGAAAUCGUCGGAAAAAGGUGAAAAGAAGAAAGGUAUUCCGACUUACUUUGGCACUAACCGAAAUAUGUCGAAUAAUACAUUUGGCCUAUUUGGCAUGGGUUCUUGUCUUGAAAGUGCAACACAAACCGCAGAAACUUUAACACGCUUCAUUCAAGAAACGGAUCCUGUACUAAAAGAAUCCUUAAAAGAUGUAAGAACUUCUUCAGAAAAUAUUGUAAAGAUCACACAACACCUAGAACAAAGAAUAGGAUGUUCUCUGGACGAAGUAGAUGUUAACUUAAAAGAUGUUGUAAACUCCAUACAGCGCCUGGAACGAAGAAUAGAAAGCUCUCUCCACGAAUUCGACGUUAACGUGAAAUAUACUGUAAACUCUACACAACGCCUUGAACGGAAAAUAGAAGAUUCUCUCGGCAAGCUCGAUUUUCUAGCACAAACCAUUGGAAAAAAUAUAAAUAACAUUUUUCACAUCGUUUUUGUUUUACUCUGUAUAGCUCUUUUGCUGUUUGCGAUAAGUUAGGUUUUAGUUACCUAACUGAGCAUCUAACACACGAAUUACUGACAAUUAUGGCUGGAAUAAGUCUUUUUACAGCUACUGCGGUUCUAUUGCGUGUGUCUUAUAUUUCUGUGUUGACGGAUGUGAUAUAUUACUCUGCGAAGUUUGUACAUUCGGAUGUUCUUCGUCGUAUUAUUGCUAAAUUGAAGUCUGUGUUUUUGUAUAUGGCUGGUGUCUUUAAUUUGAUGUUUGUACUUUCCGAUUUUCAUCUUACAGCAUGCAAAUACGCUUUUGAGAUAAAUUUACGGACGCAACUGCUUAUCACCGUGUUUUUACCAUUGGCAGGAAUAUUGUUAAAUAUUACUCUAUUCCUUAAAACAGUUGGAUUAAGUAAUAAUGUUGCCAUUAUCUCGUGUGUAAUCACGUCCUUUAUUUACUUUUCUGUAACCGCAGUUUAUCUUUAUAAAAGCCACCAAAGACCCACAUUCAAUUUGCAUUAUGAAUAUCAAAACUCUGAACAAAAUGAAACAACUGGCCGAAGUGUCUUGGACCUUGUCUUUGACCUUGUCUUUGACCUUGUCGGUCAUGUGUUUUAUGAAUUUCAAAUUUUUGCAUACAUGGCUGUGUGCUUGUUUAUUAUUGUUUCCGAGUGUAUCUGUUGGUGUGUUUACAUGUUCGCUUUUUAAUUUUUUAAUGUUUCCUUAUCCAAUAUGUUACAUUAUCUGAUUCUCAUACCAUAUAGUGCAAACUUGUGAUACGAGAUGUGAUUCACAAGUUUUGAAACGCUUUUGACAAUUUAGUUAAACACAAAGGAAUCAUUUUAAGAUCCGAGAAGGUUAUAGGUAAAUCGACAUCGGCUAACUAUAACGUAAGUUUCUUGUUAAUUACAGUAUGUUCAAUUAUUUUUCCAUAAGUCCUCGUUUGAAACCAGCCGAUAUAAAGAUUUUUCUCUUCUGUAAUUGUCUCUAAUAUUCACCGCUAAUCAGGUGUAACCAGUCUGGUAUUAUUUCGUGCUUGAAUGUUAGCUGAUCAGGGCUUAAAAUUUUUAAGAUGAAUUCGUACCUUUAUAAGUUCACUUAUACCAAACAAAAAUAUUCGUUAGACCUUUUGGACAAACUUGUGAUGCCGAUUUUGAUUAGUUUUCAGAAAUAUUAGGAUCUGAUAAAGGUACCCAAGUUGAACGCAUAUAUUUAGGUUUUUGUAAAACGUUACAGGGUGUCAACAUUCAAAGUCUACACAGAAUACAUUAUUCUUGCAUAUCGGACUGGCUUUCAAAAUACGUUAGUUUACCAUAAAACCAUAACGUUACGCUACAAACGGCAAAACUAAAGUGGAACUUUGUUAUUGUGCGUAACGCAAAACAUCAUGACGUCACUUCUGCUUACGGACGUUAAU